rnacentral:lncRNA from 1 species
UUAACAUUAGGGCUAAUCACACCUACUUGAACCAAACCAAAAUGUGGGACAGCUCCCCGACACGUGGACAAGAGUACUACCAAGCAGGCAUGUCCAGAAUCAACAAUGGUGACGCCUAUAGGCCAAACAGACAACUGCUUUGGGGGUGCCACUUCGAGAGUGUCUGAACGGGAUGAGGUGGUGUGGGUCUGGGGUCCCAGGUGGGGAACCGUAAGCUCAGGAUUUCUGAGCUGUGUGUAGUGAGGGGUACCCGGAGGGUCCACACAAAACUGGUCUUCAAAAUGGACACCAAGUGGCACUGAGAGGUCCACCACUUCUGGCCAGUGCCUGCAAUGCCACAUGAGCCCCUUGCUUUAAGGCUGAGAGGAGGAAGAUGGUGAAGCUUGCCAGGCACUGGCGUGUCACCAUGAAUUGGGGUUUUUAGCCCCUCCUGAGAUUUGUGUGGAAUAUUUGUGCAGAAUAAGAGAACAGCGGGAUGGGGGGGGGAGCGGGGGGGCCAAUCAAUUGAAAAUCAACUUUGCUGAGUCAUACUUUUGCAGAUGGCAGAAAAACUUGGCUGACAAAGCAAAACUUCACAGUUUUGCCAAUGGCAGGCCAUUUAUGUUAUUUAAGAAACGUAUAAAUAGACUUGCCAUAAGCAAGUUCUGAGUGCUUUAUAAACAUUUACUUAUCUAAGCCCCUCAACAGUCCCAUGAAAUAGGUAUUCGUAUCAUCCUUAUUUUACAGAUUAGGAAACUGAGGCACAGAGAGUUUAAGAAGCUUACUUGAGGCCACAAAGCUAGAAAGUGAGGCACAGAGAGGUUAAGUGACUCGUCUGUGGUCACACAGCUGCUAAGUAGUAGAGUCAGGAUUUGAAUGCAGACUUUGCCGCCAGAGCCCGUACUCCUAGCCUCCGUGCUCUGUCACAUUUCAGUUUCUUGGCAGACUCGCUGCUAAAUGUCCUCUGGUGGGGAUGUUCCUCUCUGCAUGAUGGUUCACGGUAGGGCCUUCGUGAAGCUAGAGCAGAUUUAAGUACACGUGGGAGCCGUGGGUGGUUUUUCUGCCCCUUUUUCUGGCCUUCAAUUCUGGGAUAUUGGGUUGCCCCAAACUCUGAUUCUGUCGUCUUCAACCAGCCUGAAGAAAAGCCACGACUUUGGGCUUGUUAGAAAUGCAGCCGAUCAUGAGGGACUUGGACCAACCAUUUCCCUCUUUGCCCAAGCUUCCUGAUCAUUCCAGGCCUCUGCCCAUCACACACCCUCCUUCUUAAAUACUAUCAUCAGUGCCGGGGUCGUUAGGGAGAAACCCAAUGAAGAGGAAAUGAUUAUAAAAGUUGCAUCUGCUGUUCAGGCAGCUGUUCUCUUUCCUCAUUAAGACAAUCAAUCAUUUUUCAACAUCAUUUUUGUAACUAGAAAAAGGCUUCAUUUAUUCUAAGACUAAGGAGCAGGAAUGAGGGAAUUAAAUCCCACAGGUCUUUAGCUGAUGGGAUUUUUUUUAAUACUCUGUCCUCACCAAUGACCUAAUUAAGCUUUCAGAGAAUGAAAAACUCUCAGCCCCUCUGUCUUGUUUCCAUCUGUGCCUUUGCAGAAGUCCAUGCCCCCAGCAGUCCAUGCCUUCUCUUCUGACUUUUUCUUGAGUCUCAUCUUUGUAGAUUAAGCCCAGAUUUCUCUGACUUUCUGCAAGGGCUUCUUGGCAAUGCGUCAUUAUCACUAAAAUCUUACAGCCGAGCCGCAGAUUGUCAUGGAGAUGUCAAGUCAAAUGACGGUGAUGUAAUGACGUGAGCCCCAACCGUGGGGGCAGACUGCCCAGGUUCAAAUAUCAGCUCUGCCCCUAACUAGCUAUUUGACCUUAGGCACAUGACUUAGGCUCUUGAUGCCUUGGUGUCCUCAUCUGUGAAAUGGAGAAUAAAGAUGGAUUAACUGAGAGACAUGUCAGACAUCAAACCAUAGAUUC